rnacentral:rRNA from 1 species
GGACAAUGGGCGCAAGCCUGAUCCAGCAAUGCCGCGUGCAGGAUGAAGGCCUUCGGGUUGUAAACUGCUUUUGUACGGAACGAAAAAGCUCUCUCUAAUACAGGGGGUGAAUGACGGUACCGUAAGAAUAAGCACCGGCUAACUACGUGCCAGCAGCCGCGGUAAUACGUAGGGUGCAAGCGUUAAUCGGAAUUACUGGGCGUAAAGCGUGAGCAGGCGGUUUUGUAAGACAGAGGUGAAAUCCCCGGGCUCAACCUGGGAACUGCCUUUGCGACUGCCAAGCUGGAGGGCGGUAGAGGGCGAUGGAACUCCGCGUGUAGCAGUGAAAUGCAUAGAUAUGCGGAGGA